CCAUUCCUUUCCACUAGCCAUACCCAAUAGUUAUUACAAAUUAUUGCAGACCCAAAUGAAUCAGAAAAGAAAAGUAAAAUUACAUCAGAAGUUCCACCGACAUCCAAAGAGCCUAAUUCAGACUUAAAGUCCAACAAUAUGAGAUAAGCCAAUUUCGAGGAUCAGAUUUCCAAAAGUCUUUCUCACAUUUGGGAUAUGUCAAAGUUCCCAAGAGUCUCAAAGGGCUCCGGGUAGUGCUUACACCCCAAACACAUUGCAAAAUUAAGAUUAUAGUGCAGCGGAAAUGCCAACCUCAGAUGUCCAAGUUCAGAGGGAGCUCAAGGUCCCAAAACAAGGCUCAUAAGAGGCGGCAGAACUUAAGAGUCUAAGAAUAAGUGUAAGUGCAUGGAGGGGGGAAUCAGGGAGAGGCCAUGGCAAGAUAGUAGUCAUGCCCAGCAAUUAAGAUGCUGGCACACCCUUGACCAGCCUGGUAGCCAAACUUAGGAGUUAGGAUCCAUUAUGGAUCAGGUUAUUGUCUGGACAGUAAAUAGGAUACUGCCAGGCCAAGAACCUUAACUCAAACACAUAUAAGGGAAUAGGGAUAACAACAACAACAACAACAACUACCCAGUAUACUCCCACCAGGUGGGGUCUGGGGAGGG
rnacentral:lncRNA from 1 species